AAGUCGUAACAAGGUCUCCGUAGGUGAACCUGCGGAGGGAUCAUUACACAAAUAUGAAGGCGGGCUGGAACCUCUCGGGGUUACAGCCUUGCUGAAUUAUUCACCCUUGUCUUUUGCGUACUUCUUGUUUCCUUGGUGGGUUCGCCCACCACUAGGACAAACAUAAACCUUUUGUAAUUGCAAUCAGCGUCAGUAACAAAUUAAUAAUUACAACUUUCAACAACGGAUCUCUUGGUUCUGGCAUCGAUGAAGAACGCAGCGAAAUGCGAUAAGUAGUGUGAAUUGCAGAAUUCAGUGAAUCAUCGAAUCUUUGAACGCACAUUGCGCCCUUUGGUAUUCCAAAGGGCAUGCCUGUUCGAGCGUCAUUUGUACCCUCAAGCUUUGCUCGGUGUUGGGCGUCUUGUCUCUAGCUUUGCUGGAGACUCGCCUUAAAGUAAUUGGCAGCCGGCCUACUGGUUUCGGAGCGCAGCACAAGUCGCACUCUCUAUCAGCAAAGGUCUAGCAUCCAUUAAGCCUUUUUUUCAACUUUUGACCUCGGAUCAGGUAGGGAUACCCGCUGAACUUAAGCA
rnacentral:rRNA from 1 species